GACGAACGCUGGCGGCGUGCUUAACACAUGCGAGUCGAACGGAAAGGCCCUGCUUUUGUGGGGUGCUCGAGUGGCGAACGGGUGAGUAACACGUGAGUAACCUGCCCUUGACUUUGGGAUAACUUCAGGAAACUGGGGCUAAUACCGGAUAGGAGCUCCUGCUGCAUGGUGGGGGUUGGAAAGUUUCGGCGGUUGGGGAUGGACUCGCGGCUUAUCAGCUUGUUGGUGGGGUAGUGGCUUACCAAGGCUUUGACGGGUAGCCGGCCUGAGAGGGUGAUCGGCCACAUUGGGACUGAGAUACGGCCCAGACUCCUACGGGAGGCAGCAGUGGGGAAUAUUGCACAAUGGGCGGAAGCCUGAUGCAGCAACGCCGCGUGCGGGAUGACGGCCUUCGGGUUGUAAACCGCUUUCGCCUGUGACGAAGCGUGAGUGACGGUAAUGGGUAAAGAAGCACCGGCUAACUACGUG
rnacentral:rRNA from 1 species